rnacentral:tmRNA from 1 species
CCCCUCGCAACCGGGCAAGUGCUGCGCUAUAUAAAGCCCGUCACCUCGGUGACUAUGGCGAUAAACGGUACGUGGAAUAAGCGUUGCGGACCCGGGGGCAGUGCCCGGCGUCUCCAUGUUAUGAAUGAGGUUUGUGCUGGUUCUGAAUGGCCGGGGCAUUCUGAAGGAGAGACUAGGGGCCCGCAGGGGGCUUUGGUCGCUCGGUUUGGGGACGAAACAGUCUCGACGCGCGCGGUAAAGACGUGCCUUUUGCCCGGCAUUGUACCGCCGUCAUCGGGCUAAAUCACAAGUGCCAAUGAUAACGUUCGCGAGAACGUGGCGCUCGCUGCCUAGAGAUAGGUAAGCGCUGCCCGGGGGGAGCAGGGCAACAGAAUCCCCCCACU